rnacentral:lncRNA from 1 species
CAGCCAAAGAAGGAUCCACUAGUUGCUCCAAACCUUCUCUAGUGGUCAGAAGAGGUCGCGCCCAAGUUACCAGGUUUUCUUCUCCAGGAGGUUGAGACAUGUCAACGGGUUUUCUUCCGGAGAGAAGCUCCAAUAAUACAACUCCAUAACUAUACACAUCACUUUUAACAAGUAGGUGUCCUGUCAUUGCAUAUUCAGGAGCAACAUACCUGAAAACCCAUUAAAUAAGGAAUGUUAGCAACUGCUUUAUAGCACAAAUCAGAGUUGCAAAUAAGGGCAAGUAUAUUGCUAUAUGUACAAAAGAACUUAAAUAAACGGGUGAACGCACAUUGAAGCAAUGGCAGCCACCUUUGCCAUAUCAUCAAAGUCAUAGCUUCCAGCCAAAGAAGGAUCCACUAGUUGCUCCAAACCUUCUCUAGUGGUCAGAAGAGGUCGCGCCCAAGUUACCAGGUUUUCUUCUCCAGGAGGUUGAGACAUGUCAACGGGUUUUCUUCCGGAGAGAAGCUCCAAUAAUACAACUCCAUAACUAUACACAUCACUUUUAACAAGUAGGUGUCCUGUCAUUGCAUAUUCAGG